rnacentral:rRNA from 1 species
AGUGAACGCUGGCGGUAGGCCUAACACAUGCAAGUCGAACGGCAGCACAGUAAGAGCUUGCUCUUACGGGUGGCGAGUGGCGGACGGGUGAGGAAUACAUCGGAAUCUACUUUUUCGUGGGGGAUAACGUAGGGAAACUUACGCUAAUACCGCAUACGACCUACGGGUGGAAGCAGGGGAUCUUCGGACCUUGCGCGAUUGAAUGAGCCGAUGUCGGAUUAGCUAGUUGGCGGGGUAAAGGCCCACCAAGGCGACGAUCCGUAGCUGGUCUGAGAGGAUGAUCAGCCACACUGGAACUGAGACACGGUCCAGACUCCUACGGGAGGCAGCAGUGGGGAAUAUUGGACAAUGGGCGCAAGCCUGAUCCAGCCAUACCGCGUGGGUGAAGAAGGCCUUCGGGUUGUAAAGCCCUUUUGUUGGGAAAGAAAAGCAGCAGGUUAAUACCCCGCUGUUCUGACGGUACCCAAAGAAUAAGCACCGGCUAACUGCGU